GACACCAGGCAAACUCCACAGCAACCCCAAGGUUCAGCUUCGGGCCAGGUUGCAACAAUCGCAGCAUGUGCUGGGGGAGAGUGGAGCCCAGGAUGGAACUGCCAGCAGAAGCCGGGCUCUGCAGGAACUGCUGGACCUGGGACCCAGAAUGGAGGAGAACACAUAGUUGACAAGAAGCAAGUCCAGAAUCCCACUUUGCCCACUUCACCUGUGAGCCCUCCAAUAUCACCCUAUCCCCCAAAAUUAUCAUUCACACUAAUACAGCUAAUAAGCAUCAA